rnacentral:tmRNA from 1 species
GGGAAUGUAAAGAUUCGAUGGCGGCACUUUUAUAAAAUCGCAAGCCGAGGACAAUUCGUCACCUCGUUAAUCAUCGGAUUAAAACUAUAUCUGCCAAUAACAGAUUAGCUCCCGCUUUCGCUUUUGCCUAAGCGGCAUCGGCGGCUGAUGUCUAAUAAGUCAUCACCGGUGUUAUAAAUUAGACUUUACCAAACCCAUGUCAGCAAGUUUGGCGAAAAUUUCUGACAAAGGAUUAUGAAGUUUUUGCAUAAUUCAUACUUCGUAAUUCAUAAUUCCAAUUAUGCUAAGCUUGUCCCAUUAGAUAUUUAAUUCUAAAAGGGGCGAGUCUCGUUAGAUAAAUUUAUAUCUAACGGGGCUUGUAGAAAUUUUAUAAAAUAACCGCCAGACGCGGGUUCAACCCCGCCAUUUCCACAU